GACGGAACUUUGCUCCGCGUGAAUUGCACCAGAGGUUGAAGAGAGCAACGCAAAUAAAAACCUGUCACUGGCAAUCCAGAAAUCACUCGCAGCGCCUCUUUUAAUAAACUUCUAGCCGAGGCACUCGAACGACUUGAGCCGAAGCCAGACUCGCAUAAACGCAGCUGAUGUCUGCGGGCUGAGAGAGGGGGAAAGAGAGGCGCCCAACCCAUUUCUUUUGUGCCGAAGCGCCUGUGAUUUCAUUCAGCUUUUCCCGGGCUGCUACUAUAAUGGGCUCCUUCGCUUUGAACCGCUCUUGUAUCCGCGACUCGUUUUCCGCCGGUUAAACCGGAGCCGCCUUUUUCUUUUUCUUUUUUUUUUGAGUUGGCAGCAGUUCGGGAACUGGCUGAUGAAAUUUCUCGCCGAGCAUCUGGACGGGUCCCAAUGAAAAUGCACGGGAGAAACAGGUACAACCUGGUGGACGAUGUGGCGGAUUCGCGGGUCCCGCUUCACAACGAGGAAGCGUAUCAACACGGAAUACACUUCCAAGCCAAGUAUGUUGGCAGCCUGGAUGUCCCGAGACCCAACAGUCGAAUGGAAAUUGUCGCUGCCAUGAGAAGAAUCAGGUACGAGUUCAAGGCAAAGAGCGUGAAGAAGAAGAAAGUGAGCAUAGUGGUUUCCGUAGACGGAGUCAAAGUGGUGCUGCGCAAAAAACCCAAGAGGAAAGAGUGGACGUGGGAUGAGAGCAAGAUGCUGGUUAUGCACGACCCCAUAUACAGGAUCUUCUAUGUAUCCCAUGAUUCUCAGGAUCUGAAGAUUUUCAGCUACAUUGCUCGUGAUGGAUCCAGCAACUCCUUCAGAUGCAAUGUGUUCAAGUCCAAGAAAAAGAGUCAGGCCAUGCGGAUAGUGCGGACGGUCGGUCAGGCGUUCGAGGUUUGCCAUAAGCUGAGUCUGCAGCACGCUGAGCUGAAUGCAGAUGAUCAGCCAGACGGCCCUGCAGACGGCCAGAGCGAUCAGUCUGGAGAAGAGCCCAGCCCUGAAGCUCGUCAGCUGACAGGGAUGGAGCGCGGGAUGGAGGAUGUCACCGCAACCGACUCGCAAUCCGCAAAACUCAGUGAGCAGGCUAUGGAUGACAUUCUCCAGAGUCUGUCGGAGCUCAACCUGGUGAAACCUGGACAAACCCUACAGUCUCUGCAAGACCUGGAGGGCGUCUCUCUCUACACGCUAUCCCCCAGCAGCCCUUGCUCUCCUUCUCUCACACCUUUGGCCACCCAACACCACCUCCAGUUACUCCAACAACAGCUGCUACAGCAGCAGCAACAAACACAGAUCGCCGUCGCACAGGUGCAGCUCCUGAAGGAUCAGCUGGCUGCAGAGACGGCCGCUCGUAUGGAGGCGCAGGCCAGAUCUCACCAGCUGCUGCUGCAGAACCGUGAUUUACUGCAGCACACAUCCCUGCUGGUGAAACACCUCAGCCAACUGGAGAUCAGAGUCGGUGGAGCCGCACAGAAAGAGGAAUCGCCAUGGAGUAGCGCGCCCCCUCGUUCUCUCUCUCUCAACUUGAAGAACCUCUACACCCCUCACUCAGACCAGCCCUUCACCUCCACUCCAGCAGGACAGCCAGAAAACCCUCCUGUUUCCUCCCACGCCGAGUCUUACCUCAAUCUGCUCAACCUGCGCAGUGCUUCCACCAUUACAGCCAAUGGGAAGCCAGCGAGUGCGAGAAGUGAAGCGGGGCUGGACGCAGCAAGAAGGGAAGUCGCAAAGCUUGAAACCCGGAAUUCAGCAGCACUUGAUGAGAGGUGCACGUGUGAGGAGCCUCCCCUUCUGAUUAUCCACUUCCUCCUGUAACAGCCUUCUUCCUGUUCUCUAAUCUUCUAACCCUCUCUGACGCUCUCUCUCCAUCUCAUGCCCUCACCUGACCUAUCCUCCUUUGUCUGAAAUCGCUGAUUUUUGUUUCCUCUCCGCUCCUCUCUUCUACACUUUACCAACCUCCUCAGGGGGACUGUGGGACAGAGAUAAGUGCACUCACGCACACACACACACACACACACACACACACACACACACAUGCAGAAUGGAGACUGUCUUAAAGAAUUGUGUACAAGCUCUUUUUGAUGAUUCAGCAACUGUUCACCACACAGACCCAUCUCCCUGCUGUGAUUUCCCUACAGUUCUGACCCAAUGUCCUGACCUGACAUGCCACGAUAAGUGAUAAAAGGCUUUCAUCCUUGUAUCAGAUGCUAAUUAUCUGAAAUCAUGACAAGCGUUUGGAUAUUUUAACUGAGUUCUGUUUUUAUAGUCCCACCUAGUGAAAUCUCAUUAGUCACAAAUCCACACGACUAUAGAUUUUACCAAAUUAUUUUUGGCUGGGUAUGUCAUGUUACAAAGCAGUAACGGUGGGAAGUUUUUCCCACUAAUUUGUUCAGUCUCUUGGUAUAAGUCCCAGAAGAUUAAUUUAGACAAUGUAUUAAGUGACACAGAGUCAUAUUAUAGUUUAUUAAAAUUUGCAUGCCAAAAAACUCUACAAUGCAGAAAUUUAAGCAUCAUAAAAAUGACAAGCAGAUCUUUUGUAUUUAUUUAAUAUAUUGUCUUCUACAUUCUGUAUAUUAGCAAAUGAUUAAAAAGACAAAAAAAAUCAUUUUAAUUUUGCUUUUACUUUUUAUACUAUGGCUUUGCUUUAAUUUUUUGUGAUUUUGUAACAUGCUUUUGUCAUUUUCAAAUUUCCGGAUUUAAUAUCAAUAUUUUUUUAGCUUUAGUUUUAAUACUAAAAAUAUGGAAGUUUAUCGCUGAGCUUAAAAUUAAACCAAAUACACAUUUCCCAAAUAAACGUAAAAAAUGUUUUAUUAGUUUUACUUUUGAACUAGCAUUAUGCCCCUGAUUCAGUCAGAAAGCGGACUAAAAAUAAAUGGUUCAGUUCAUUUUGAUAGUCCACUUUAGACAUUCUACUAACUGAAGGUAACUUUGGUAAUAAUUCUCAUUAAUUCGCAACUACAUUUCUACUGCCUGUCAGAGUAGACUGUUAGGGUAGGUUUAGGGUUAACAGAAUAAAUUGACAUUAACCCGCAAAGUUUUUGAUAGUGUGUCGUAUGUUGUGGAUUCAUCAAAAUAAAGUGUAAGUAGACACCAAGCAGGCAGUCUACUAAAGACUGCUAGUUACCUACUGUUAGUAUGUCUGAAGUGCACUUUAAUCUUUAAUGUAAAAGAUUUGCUCAAAAACACUGAUUUGUGCCCACUUGGUAAUGUACUGAACCUUUUACAAUGUACUAUUCCAUGUAAUUAUAAAAUAAUGUUCCACUGACUGGGAAAUUUUGUCUCCUUUGUGUG